rnacentral:misc_RNA from 1 species
UCUGAAAAUUUUCACUAAUAAUUUGGAUUUUGAAACUAAGAUGGAAAAAUGUGAUUGCUCAUCAGAAUGAACAAAAUUAUAAAUGAAAAGGUGUAAAUUUCAGUUCCAACUUUCCAAGUUUUCUAAUACUCCCUACAUUGAAAAUAAUUGGAGUUGUGGUGAAUCGAACCCCGUGCCUCUAGCAAGCCAAAGGCGCUCUCUACGAUAUGAGCUGCAGGCCACAACGCUGCGAAUGUAUCCUGCGGAGGAAAAUAAAUCUAUUAAGACGGCAUCGUGUCACGAAGGAAAGCACAGCACUUUGGCAGUUGGCGCUAAGGUUUUCGCUUUACUGUGUAAAAAUGUCCAGUGGCUCGCAUUCCAGCACAGUUCAAAUUCAGCAUUAAAGUCUCACAUACUUUCCCCAUUGGAUUGAUUCUGCUGCCCACUACAACACGAUCCUUAUUUACUCCCUUCCUGCAUCUUCCAGCACCGAAGAGAAUGAGGCUCACAUGCUUUCUUUUAUUAUUCUUCACUUACCACCAUAAUAAAAGAUAAUAUCCUAUACGUUCAUUCAUAGACAUGGCCCCUUGAGUCUCUUUAUCUCCACGGAUUUUCUGGUCUUCUCUCAAUCUUGGGUGACGAAAGGCCGGCGGUUUUCUAUUUUUUUUUUCUCUCUUCUUUUUUGGUCAAAUAUCUCAUGGGUUAAGUUGCUUUGCUUACAAGGGUUUUACAACAAUUACUCUUUUUUUGGAGCAAUUCUUUUUGCAUUUGGGGUUCGAGUUGCCCGUGUUUGUUUCUCAUUAUGAAGGCUUCUGGGCUCUGGGUUUCGUACUUAGUGGUUGGGACAGCUUUAAUGUUCCUUAACUUCUCUUUCGCUACAACAACCUUGUCAAUAUCUGGUAAAUAGUACUACCUAACUGUUUUUUCACUUGUGGGUUUCUGUAAAUUACCAUAUGCAAGGACAAUAACUGUGUUUGUGUUCUUAUGUCGGCAAAACAUCAUCUUUCAGAGGGUCUUAUCACUUAUGAGAACUCAUAUUGUCGUUAUAUGUUGUUUUGGUUGUUGGGUCUGAAAUUGCAUGCCUUUUUGCUUGUGGUAAUUUCAGCUGUUUUUAUUUGCCUCUCAUCAAUUUUUAACCGAUUGAUAAUAUUACUCUCCUACAAUUUGCUUACUCAUUUGGGUUUAAUCAUAUACAGUGGAAAUUUGAUGUAUUCGUGAAGUUCAACAAAUUUAAAACAUCAUCAUAUGCUACUGAUACUUGAACUUUAAAUCAUUAUAAAUUCUAGUUCACUGAGGAGUUUCCUUUGUAUAACUUGAGCUGGCAGUACUGGUUCUUUCCUACUACCUGCAAUUAUUAUCUAAUGCAUUUGAAUCAAUUUUUUUACUAAAAAAUACAAGGAUUUUUUCUGUGAUUGAUCACUUUUUGUUUGGACUACUGAGAGUAUAAACUUCUUUUUUGCAACCAGAAGGUUGCAACUUUGAGGCUUUCAUUCAAUAGCAACGCUGUCCGUAGAGUUUUCUUUCAGGAUGCUGCAUUGGCCCUUGUUUAUAAGACCAUGAAGAGCCAAGGACAUUUUGCUUUAUCAUCAUUUAUCAGAACACGUAAUGCUUCUGAAAUUGGGACUAAUUUCAUCUGACACCUGAGAUAAUGCAUGGAAGAAUCUCUUUACCAGGCAUUUUAUGGACUAAAUAGCAAGUGAAGAGAGAGUCCUAGUUAUUUGUUAUAUUGCAAAAAAAACUACUGCUCAGUUGCAGGUUUCAGAGUCCAGCGAAGUGAUUCUUUUUAUUGGUGAUCUUUUUUCUGUAUUUUGCUGUUCUGAAUGCGUUCUAUCAUCUGUCCUCUUCUCAGUGAUGCAUGAUAACAUGCUCUGAUCUGGGGAGGGAGGAAUCAUCAUUCAUUUGUUCACUUCUUUGCUAUUGUUCGCAUUCAUUGGUCCCAUCCUAGUUCGUUUGUUAAAUAACAGCGGUAAGUAUUCAUAUGUUUUCCCACUUCAUUUAGUUGAUUUUUAUGUUAUAUGGGGCCUGUUGUAAACAAUAUCAGUAAAGCUACAGCCUGCAGAACACAUGACAGGGGUGUGGAUGUGAUGGUAGACCAAUAUUAACUUGAAUCCAUGUGUUGAAUUCAGACAUAAAAUGAACAUAAUUUCAGGACUCAUUCAUGGCAGAAGAAUGGCAAAGCUAUAGACUAGGCCAAAAACCACUUACUAAAUCACGUUUAUUCUUCUUCCAAUGAUUAUGCUGACACCGUUUUAUUCCAGAUGUGGUCUUCACCGACAGAAGCAGUAGAAUGAUAAUGACGGAAACAAACAGGAAGCUUAAGGAGAACAGCUAUAAUCACAAAAUUGACAAGAACAAUGAUGCUCGCAACUUGACUCUAGAUGAUUACCAUCCUAUUGAUCCAGCUCCAAGUUCAAAGGCUUCCAUAAAACCUGGACCCAUCGAGCACGGCACUCCCCUGAAUCCAUAUAUUCCCAAGCAUCCUCCACCGAGUCCUGCUCCUCCCAAGAAGGUCGGCUACCUUAACUAGCUUGCCAUUCCAUUUCUCCAAAUGGAUGUAUGCUAAUAACACGAAGAAUUUUAGUUACUUAGUGUGGAUGUAGUGUUUUUAUUACCUGUUUAUUGUAUGAUCUGCAUUAGCCAGCUUAAGUUAUCCCUGAAAGGAUAUUAGCUCAUGUUUCUUUAAGGGAAUAUGACUAUUUCUAAGUAUGAAAUAAUUGUUUUCAGAUGUGGGAUUUUUAUGCUUUCACAUAAAAUUGUUUCCUUUCAAUAAUUUAUACAAAUGGAGUAUAUACACUCAAAAAAGUUAACUUAGGUUUCUUUGCAUAUUUGUUUAU